rnacentral:rRNA from 1 species
UGGGGAAUAUUGGGGCAAUGGGGGGCGCAAGCCUGACCCAGCAACGCCGCGUGAAGGAAGAAGGCUUUCGGGUUGUAAACUUCUUUUAUCAGGGACGAUAAUGACGGUACCUGAUGAAUAAGCUCCGGCUAACUACGUGCCAGCAGCCGCGGUAAUACGUAGGGAGCAAGCGUUAUCCGGAUUUACUGGGUGUAAAGGGCGUGCAGCCGGGAAUGCAAGUCAGAUGUGAAAUCCAUGGGCUUAACCCAUGAACUGCAUUUGAAACUGUAUUUCUUGAGUACUGGAGAGGCAAUCGGAAUUCCUAGUGUAGCGGUGAAAUGCGUAGAUAUUAGGAGGAACACCAGUGGCGAAGGCGGAUUGCUGGACAGCAACUGACGGUGAGGCGCGAAAGUGUGGGGAGCAAACAGGAUUAGAUACCCUGGUAGU